rnacentral:misc_RNA from 1 species
CCGGACAGCCGGAAAGCUCCCGAUCCGCGCCCGGAUCGACACAAUUCGAGCGAUUUUUCAGGUAUUAAGCUGACCUGCCGGGUUCUUGGGCGUCCGGCGCGCGGUUUCCACCCCCUCCGAAACACGCUAAAANNNNNNNNNNNNUCCGCAACAGGGCAGGUUUGGCAUGGAUCGCAUUCGCAUUGUCGGCGGCAACAAACUCAACGGCACCAUUCCGAUUUCCGGCGCGAAGAACGCGGCUCUGCCGCUGAUGAUCGCAAGCCUGCUGACCGACGAGACCCUGAUUCUCGACAACG